GUGAAUGUUAUUUUUAAUGAAAGUGGUACAUUUUGACUCACGAUGUUGAAACCAGAUUAUAAAUGAGUCAUCGGUGAAUCAACCACAAGGAGCCUUUAUGAAGGUGAUUUACAGGAGGACUCUGACGUCUGCUGUCCCUUCACACGCUUCGCAGAGAUGCUGUCAGGCUUGGAGUUGGUCUGGGGCAUCUGCUGCCGAGUCAGCUCAAAAGGAUGCUGUGUUGUCACCAGUGGGAUUCCCCAGCCAGCCGGCACUGCGGUCCCACCCACAGAACUAAGGCAGCCAUCACUGAACAAUGCUUGUGGUUACAUCAUAGCUGCUGGCUUCCAGGUAGUGACUAGUAGAUACUGGGGAGAGUCACAGGCCAUCUGUUGCUCCCUGCUCCCAGACUCUUCCCUAAUGCCCACAUCCCCUCACCUGGUCAUCAAGAGGCUCAGUAGGAGGGCAGAAAAGUGAGACUUAAAGGUGAACAGACCUGGGCUUGAGUCCUAGGUCUAACGGAAUGGCCACAAAGAGUCAGGCAACAGCCUCAUGUUGCUCGUGUCUGAAAUGUAAACAUUAUCACCUACCAUGCCUCCCUUGCAGGAACCUUGCAAGGUUCUCGUGGGACCGUGCGAGUGAAAGUGUCUUGGAGACUGUCACAGGCCAUACCAAGAAAACAGGAAAUGGAGGCCAGAGGGUAAAUCCACACGCAAGUAUACUCUGGCUCCCCAGCCAACAGGGAGGCUGCCCAGCGGCCGAUUUAUAGUCCCAGACUCUCCAGGACAUUAUCCGAAUUUAGCAGAAGUAACAAUGUGUGACUUCCAAAGCCAGCCCUUGCAGCUUCCACUUUCGCCCUCUGGAACUGCUGCCCUGGGGCCACCAUGCGAGGAAGCUGCUAGCCUGCUGGAAUAGGGGAGGCCACAUGGAGGAGAAGUGAGAUCCCCAACUUGACCGCCAGCACCAGCUGCCAGACUGUCAGAGAGGCCAUCCUGAGAUGACCUUCUAGCCCAGAUUCUGUGGAUCCGGAAUUUGGACAGAGAACAGAGAGGAUGACUUAUGUCUGCGCUACAACGUCUGGGGCCUCAACAGAAAAGACUCAAAGGCUGGGGUGACUCGACAGCUAGGGUUUAGAAUCAUGUGAAUGCUUGUUCACUCAUAUAUCUGGCAUCUGAUACAGACUAGGACUGCAGACCCAUGGUCUACAUGUGGCCUCUCCAUGUGGCUUGGCUUCCCCACAGCAAGGCAGCCACAGGAUAGUCAGACUUCUUCCUUGGUUACAGAACCCAAAAGCAUUGUCCCAGCAAACAAGACAGAGCAGCAGUGGCUUUUGUGACCCAGCUUCAGAAGUGGCACAGCAUCACUUCUCUCCUACUUUACACUGGUCAAAGUAGCCUCAAGUCUGUGAGGAGGAGGGAUGAGACUCUGUCUCUUAAUGGGAAAGGAAUCAAAGAAUUUUGAGGGUAUGUUCUGUCACAUUGCCCGAGACAUAGUCUCAGCGUUGAGCUAUUCUUCCUAAGCCUGUUACCAGCUGCCUGUUGAAAGAAUUGAUUGUCUCCUUAAUGUUCCUCUGUUGACCUGUGAAUGUCUUGCUGCAUCUCCCCCUACCCCUAACUAUCUGAAUUCUCAGCUGCUCCACUAUAUAUCAAGAAGUCUUCACUUGAUAUAAGAUCCUGACUCCCGAAAUGGAGUACACAGGAUCUCCCUCUGUACAGCAGGGCUUCUAAAUCUGUCAACAGCCCCUCCUCCAUGAUGGAUGGUCCAUCUCCAGUUUACAACCUGGUCCCUGUUAAUCCUCUGUAACUUCUUGUCAGGACUCCUUAAAGGGAUGAAAUAUUUUUCUGAACGUUGAAAACUCUGCAAACACACAAGAGAGGAGUUAUUAAACAAGCUCACAGUGGCUUCUUCACAAUACCAUUUGAUUGAAAAUAGUUUGACAAGGAAAAUUAAUCCCAGACUGAACUGAGGACUCAUUUUCCAAAAUGGGAAGAAAUGCUUCUCCUUCCACCAUCAAAGCCCCUCAAAAUGCCACCAAGAUUGUUGAAUAACACUGACUUGAGACAGGAAACCAAACGACUGGAAAUCCAGCUGCCCCUGGUUUAUUCAUAUUUACGCCUACAGAUUCACCCUUCGGCCUGGGCAAGCUUGACUCAAGAGAAGAGUUUCAUGCGCCUGAGCACCUAGCACCGGAUUUUAGAAGCUUCACGUUGCACUGACUGACAAGAAUUUCUGUUGGAGAAAACCUAAGGGUGUCCAUGGAAUUGUGUGAAAUAGUGGGACAGAAAGAGGCAGGGACCACAUCCCAGAGGGAGAUCAAAUGAAGCAAAACAAAGGAAGAGAAGGACUAGACCCAAACCCAGACCCCACACACAGCCUAGGACACGGCUCGGGUUGUCUGGAAGCAGUUCCCAGACAGAAACCUCAGUGUGAUGAAUCAGUUUCCUUGGACAUAGAGGGGAUAAAGAGUCUGCUGUAGAGACAGAGCAUAUUUAUUCAAGGAAUGGCUGUGAGAAUCGGGUAUGGGCAGAGGUGGGGGUGGAGUAUGUGGUGGCAAAAAGCCACCAUGAAUCCCCAGUCUAGACACUGAGCCCAUAAUGCCCAGGGAGAAGCAAACGAUCUAAAAGAGAAGGCAUGCUGGGGAGAAGCCAGUUGAGCCUGGCUCUGAAAUGACUGGUUGUGAUACCAGAGUCAGAUACUGCAGACGAGUCUUUGAAAAUCACAGAGAGGAGAAAAUAGAGAUGAUUUUAAGAUAAAUGUUAAUAGAAGCCCAAGUCUUCUCUCUUAUAAAUCAAAUUCCAUUGUAAACAAUGCCAUAAAAAAUGUCUACACCUCUAAAUAGCGAAGAUUUCCAAGUCUUAGAAGAAGGCCCCCUUAUAUGAAGCAACACAAACACAAUGAGUGUGAAAGCAACACUUAGACAACCUUGAAUUAUUCAGGACCAUCAUCAGUUAUAAAACAGUGUUGACACUGACUGAGGACACGCAUCCCAAGCCCAGAAAAAGAGAGAACAUCACCAUUUGGCCAGCAGUGACCUACAUGAUACAUUUUUAAAAGAUAAGACUUUUCCUCUUUUACUACCCAC
ensembl:lncRNA